GACUUAUAGCUUAGUGGUAGAGCAUCGGCACUAUACGCCGAAGGAUAAGGGUUUAAAUCCCAAAAGAGUCA
rnacentral:tRNA from 1 species